rnacentral:rRNA from 1 species
AACGUAGGAGACAAACGUUAUCCGGAGUUACUGGGCGUAAAGGGCGUGCAGGUGGUCUGUUAAGUCUGGCGUGAAAGCUCUCGGCUAAACCGGGAGAGGUCGUCGGAUACUGGCAAACUAGAGGACGGUAGAGGCGUGUGGAAUUCCGGGUGUAGUGGUGAAAUGCGUAGAGAUCCGGAGGAACACCAGUGGCGAAGGCGACACGCUGGGCCGUACCUGACGCUAAAGCGCGACAGCAUGGGGAGCGAACGGG